UGGGGAAUAUUGGACAAUGGGCGAAAGCCUGAUCCAGCGACGCCGCGUGGGUGAAGAAGGCCUGCGGGUUGUAAAGCCCUUUCGGUGGGGAAGAAAAGCCUCGAGUUAAUACCUCGGGGUCUUGACGUAACCCAUAGAAGAAGCACCGGCUAACUCUGUGCCAGCAGCCGCGGUAAUACAGAGGGUGCGAGCGUUAAUCGGAAUUACUGGGCGUAAAGCGCGCGUAGGCGGCUUUGCAAGUCGGGUGUGAAAUCCCCAGGCUUAACCUGGGAACUGCAUUCGAGACUGCAUUGCUAGAGUAUGGGAGAGGGAAGUGGAAUUUCCGGUGUAGCGGUGAAUGCGUAGAUAUCGGAAGGAACAUCAGUGGCGAAAGCGACUUCCUGGACCAAUACUGACGCUCAUGUGCGAAAGCGUGGGGAGCAAACAGGAUUAGAUACCCUGGUAGUCCACGCCAU
rnacentral:rRNA from 1 species